GGAUGGGUGGCAGAGUGGACUAUUGCGCACGCCUGGAGAGCGUGUGGGGCGAAAGCCCUCGUGGGUUCGAAUCCCACCCCAUCCG
rnacentral:tRNA from 1 species